CCCCAUGGUUCUUGGCACCUGGAAGGUGCUUGGCAAACAUCUGAUAAUGGAUAGAUGGAUGAACCAGUGAUUGAAUGAAUGUUCAGUAAAGAUCUGGUGACUGACGCUCCAGUUCAGCACACGUUUCCGGCUCUUGCCUGCAUGCUGUUGUGAUCUGUUAUUUCCUAUGUGAGAUCUCAUUCCCCCACCUGGGAUUAUGAGUUCAUUUGCACUGGGCCCACGCCCUCUCUUUCUCCUGUGAUCCACAGAGCAGCUAGCCUGGCUGUUGUUCACCAGUAAGAGAGAUUGGCGGAGUAGGGAGCUAGCGGAUUAGCAUCAUCAGUGCAUUUGAUAAGGAGUUUCCUUUGGGUAAACCGACUUUUCAGAAGAGUUCUGGGUUGUAUUUCCCUUUUCUCUGGGAAAAUGGGAAUAUUGGAAAUUAAGAAAAUAGUUUGAAGUUACUCCCACGUUAAGGAUUCCAGUGAACGGGAAGCCCUGGAUGAUAUUUGCAUUCCGCGUUACGUGGAUGGGCACCACAAGGAAGCAGCAUUUCUGGAAGACCUCAAGAGGUCAGAGUCGUUGCCCUCCAGCAUAGUCACAGACACUUUCUUUCCUGAGUGGACAGGCGGGAUCCUGGGGGUGCCUUCCAUUCUGUGACUAGCAUCCUGGUGAUUCCUGGACAUGCGAGCACUGUUGCUGGUCUGUUCAACCCCCGACCUGAAUAAAUGACCUGAGAACCAUCUCAGAUGUCCCCUAGUUUUGUGUGUGUGUGCGCGCAGAGUGACUUCCUGUGUGGCCUCUGGGUGCUCGCAUCACCAAGCCUUCGCCAAGAACCUUACUGCCUCCCGGUCCUCCGGUU
rnacentral:lncRNA from 1 species